UGAAUUGGGGCCAGAGCGCCGGAACCGUGCCAUCCCGGUUCAAAUACAGGUCCUCGCCACUGGGGGAAACCAGCCGUUUCCAGCGGUACAGAGAUCCCCGCCAGGGUCUCUGGAUGAGACAAAGUUUAGGGAAGCGGCUGAACGCUGGUCUAUCGGAGGUGGAAAACAGGAACUACGGCAGAAGCACAGACGCACCGCCACAUAGAGAGUGGACACGAAGUGACGGGGCAGUGGGUGACUUUGGAGGCGGGCUUUAGGCUGCCCACCCAAUCAGACAAUUAUCCUGGAAAUGUAUUUCCGUUGAUCGAGUCUACCUUCCCAUGAUAUCUCUUCUACUGACUUUCAAUUGUGCACAGAUAAAAAAAAGAGAGAAAAUGAGCAUUCCUUUCGUAAAUUAUCAUUCCAUAGCCUCAACCGAAGAUACAUCUGCUUUAUUUGUUUGCAAAUAUGCAUUUCUAUAUUCAG